rnacentral:rRNA from 1 species
GGUUCCUGUCCAACGUUAAUCGGGGCAGGGUGAGUCGACCCCUAAGGCGAGGCCGAAAGGCGUAGUCGAUGGGAAACAGGUUAAUAUUCCUGUACUUGGUGUUACUGCGAAGGGGGGACGGAGAAGGCUAUGUUGGCCGGGCGACGGUUGUCCCGGUUUAAGCGUGUAGGCUGGUUUUCCAGGCAAAUCCGGAAAAUCAAGGCUGAGGCGUGAUGACGAGGCACUACGGUGCUGAAGCAACAAAUGCCCUGCUUCCAGGAAAAGCCUCUAAGCAUCAGGUAACAUCAAAUCGUACCCCAAACCGACACAGGUGGUCAGGUAGAGAAUACCAAGGCGCUUGAGAGAACUCGGGUGAAGGAACUAGGCAAAAUGGUGCCGUAACUUCGGGAGAAGGCACGCUGAUAUGUAGGUGAAGCGACUUGCUCGUGGAGCUGAAAUCAGUCGAAGAUACCAGCUGGCUGCAACUGUUUAUUAAAAACACAGCACUGUGCAAACACGAAAGUGGACGUAUACGGUGUGACGCCUGCCCGGUGCCGGAAGGUUAAUUGAUGGGGUUAGCGCAAGCGAAGCUCUUGAUCGAAGCCCCGGUAAACGGCGGCCGUAACUAUAACGGUCCUAAGGUAGCGAAAUUCCUUGUCGGGUAAGUUCCGACCUGCACGAAUGGCGUAAUGAUGGCCAGGCUGUCUCCACCCGAGACUCAGUGAAAUUGAACUCGCUGUGAAGAUGCAGUGUACCCGCGGCAAGACGGAAAGACCCCGUGAACCUUUACUAUAGCUUGACACUGAACAUUGAGCCUUGAUGUGUAGGAUAGGUGGGAGGCUUUGAAGUGUGGACGCCAGUCUGCAUGGAGCCGACCUUGAAAUACCACCCUUUAAUGUUUGAUGUUCUAACGUUGACCCGUGAUCCGGGUUGCGGACAGUGUCUGGUGGGUAGUUUGACUGGGGCGGUCUCCUCCUAAAGAGUAACGGAGGAGCACGAAGGUUGGCUAAUCCUGGUCGGACAUCAGGAGGUUAGUGCAAUGGCAUAAGCCAGCUUGACUGCGAGCGUGACGGCGCGAGCAGGUGCGAAAGCAGGUCAUAGUGAUCCGGUGGUUCUGAAUGGAAGGGCCAUCGCUCAACGGAUAAAAGGUACUCCGGGGAUAACAGGCUGAUACCGCCCAAGAGUUCAUAUCGACGGCGGUGUUUGGCACCUCGAUGUCGGCUCAUCACAUCCUGGGGCUGAAGUAGGUCCCAAGGGUAUGGCUGUUCGCCAUUUAAAGUGGUACGCGAGCUGGGUUUAGAACGUCGUGAGACAGUUCGGUCCCUAUCUGCCGUGGGCGCUGGAGAACUGAGGGGGGCUGCUCCUAGUACGAGAGGACCGGAGUGGACGCAUCACUGGUGUUCGGGUUGUCAUGCCAAUGGCACUGCCCGGUAGCUAAAUGCGGAAGAGAUAAGUGCUGAAAGCAUCUAAGCACGAAACUUGCCCCGA